rnacentral:rRNA from 1 species
CAAGCAGGCGGCCUUGUAAGUCUGGCGUGAAAUACCGAGGCUCAACUUCGGAAACGCGCUGGAAACUGUGAGGCUAGAAUCCGUGAGGGGUAUGUGGAAUUCCUGGUGUAGGGGUGAAAUCUGUUGAUAUCAGGAAGAACACCUGAGGCGAAGGCGACAUACUGGCACUGGAUUGACGCUGAGAUGCGAAAGCGUAGGGAGCGAACAGGAUUAGAUACCCUGGUAGUCC